GAUGAACGCUGGCGGCGUGCCUAAUACAUGCAAGUCGAGCGAACGGACGAGAAGCUUGCUUCUCUGAUGUUAGCGGCGGACGGGUGAGUAACACGUGGAUAACCUACCUAUAAGACUGGGAUAACUUCGGGAAACCGGAGCUAAUACCGGAUAAUAUUUUGAACCGCAUGGUUCAAAAGUGAAAGACGGUCUUGCUGUCACUUAUAGAUGGAUCCGCGCUGCAUUAGCUAGUUGGUAAGGUAACGGCUUACCAAGGCAACGAUGCAUAGUCGACCUGAGAGGGUGGUCGGCCACACUGGAACUGAGACACGGUCCAGACUCCUACGGGAGGCAGCAGUAGGGAAUCUUCCGCAAUGGGCGAAAGCCUGACGGAGCAACGCCGCGUGAGUGAUGAAGGUCUUCGGAUCGUAAAACUCUGUUAUUAGGGAAGAACAUAUGUGUAAGUAACUGUGCACAUCUUGACGGUACCUAAUCAGAAAGCCACGGCUAACUACGUG
rnacentral:rRNA from 1 species